rnacentral:lncRNA from 1 species
CCUCUCAUACUUGAUCUCAGCCAAAAGGCCUUCUGCUUGUUAGGCUGCUCCCAGACCUGAGGCAAGGAUGAGCUGGUUGGCAUCCGUCUGUCUCAGCAGACAAUGGAGGACUGUGAGUAAGAUUCACCUCCAGCCAAAGAGGGCCCAUGGCACAACACAAGGAUAAGUACCUCCAACUCAAAUAAUCAGUCUUUUUUUUCAUUUGGCUGGAUUGCAAGUUUACCCCACGCAAGAGGGCAAACCAAUCUCAAGCUGCUUUGAGUACGAUCAAAAUACAAGUGAGGCUACUCACUUUGGGUUGUGCUUCCCCACUAAGAGGCACUAGUAUAUGGUUACAAAUUUGAGGGGUGUUUGCUUGAUGUUUCCCACACUGUGUACCAUCUCCCCAAAUUGCCUAUGUGUUCACCAAGACAGAUUUGAGAGGCAUAAAAUUGAAAGGGCUCACAGGCAAAGCUACUCAAACACACACAUGGAAACAGCGAUCCACAUAUCCAUUAGUGCCCUGGGGUGGACGCAGCCAUAGUAAAUGUCAUCAUGAAAUAGGAAAUCUAUGUGGUGCCAUCUUUUCAGGCUGAAUGAAUUCCCUUAAUGUUUAAGGUGCAUUCCUGCUGCUCUCUCCUAGGCCUGCCUGUCCCUGACAUGUGAUUGGAGCUUGACACAAAAAGAGAUUGUACUCAGUCAGCAAAGAACCGAAAUGCAAUACUAAUGCCGUUUCCGUAAGCUGCUCAAAGCAAAGGGAGCUCUUUCGCCAUCUCAGAGGUGGCUGCAUUUCAGUGAUUAGUAGAUAAAUGUGGGCUUAUAAAUCACAGUGAAAACAAGGCCAAGAAGAGUCUUGAAUACGGGAGAGCACUUCUGAAUCGACAAGCCUUUGGACAAUAGGAUCUCUGAGUCAAUUGCCUUGGAAGCUUCUCUUGCUGUUCCCCCUGGAUUCAGCAUUCUGGCUCCGUCUCUGGGUCAAACUCCACUGUGCAAAACUGCCUGACACAGCUUUGCUCACACCAGCCACGUGGGUAUUUUGGUCCAUUUCCUCCUGCACUGCAGCAGGCUUCUGUUUGGCUCAGAUGCUCCUGGCCUCAUUAGAGGUCUGGAUGGUAAUUGGGAACAGCCUGUUUUGCUGUCCAAGACCUUCCACACUGCAAAAGCCCUGGGGGAGGCAGGGAAUGUGUUUCCCUCUGAUGUAGCCCACACCUCUGCACUUCCACUCCUCAGUAAGGUGUGUGUUUUGCUUCAGUCGCCAAAGCGUUCCACAUCCUGCAGCGUUGGGGGAGCUUUCGCCUGCUUCCCAACCAAGCUUAUUAAUUUAAUGAGGAGGAAGGCUCCCUCUUAGCAAUUACUGCGGCAGCAAACUCCCCCUGCAACCUUAGCCUAGCUAGAGAGAUUUUGAAGUGACCCGGUGACCACAUGAUCUGCUUGAGGCAAAAGAAAAUACGUACGUUCGAAACAUCAGCUGCCUUGGCAGGGCAGGUGCCGUGUUUGAAACAAAAACGGCCCUAUGCUGGGUAAGCAAGUGUUCAAGGAAUAAGUUUUGCAAGCAGAUCAGCAGUAUAAUUUCAGUGGUGGACUGGAUUCUGGGUGCAGGGAGCAGGCAGGUAUCACAAUUUUGCACACAGCAGUUUUUACCCUUGCUCCAUGAUGGCAAGGCAAUUGCUACAGAAGAAGUGCUCUAAUGAGAGACCCAGCAGCACAGCCUAUCCAACAGCAAAUAAAACAGGAGCCUACGCCACCUAGCACCUCAGUGAAAUCUGCUAGUGAUCCUUACUUACAUGCCA